ensembl:lncRNA
GGGGGAUGUAGGGAUUCAUCUUUGUCACAUUUUCUCUCUAAUUUAGCUGUCUAGGGAGCCUCCCUUGUUUUGCAGAAGUGGAAACAUCCAGUUUAAUUUCAUCUUUUCUCAGACUGCAGUAGCUUGCUUCCUCAGAAGCCAGGGUCUCUCUCCAUUUAUUCUUAGUGUUUAUCCCUUUAAUUCUCCUACAGUUUCACAAGUGCUUCUGGUAUAUUUUGUAAUUUUAGCUUAUAAUCACAUUUUUCGAAGAGGCACCAUCUGGUUCCUGACAUGGCUUAAAAUAACAAUCUAACUAACACGAACCCUGCAGCAAUGCUUUGCGCCCUUCCCAACCCAGUGUGAGAGUGUCCCCACCUAUAUUUCUUCACAAAUGCUCCACUGUUAGGUUCCAUCCCUUCCGAUAGAUCUCACAGAAAGCGGGGCCUUUUACCUCUUUCAUCUCGAACCCAGUCGUUUCAGGCAGUCAAAAUGGAUGCGUUAAAAAAAAAAAAAAAAAACCUUGCAGCUAGGACAGCAGAGGAUCUGCUGUGAACUGCUCAGUCAGAGACUUGGAGCUGGAGCUCACGUCUGUAUUUCAGCUGCCCUCUGGUGCUUAGCACUGCAGCAGUACACGCCAUCAUCAUGGCCCCAGUGCUUGGAGGUCCCUGCGACGGAGCAGCGGAAACCAAGCACAGCAAAAAUUCCUUUGAAGACAGAAAAGUGGCCCAGUGCUGUGCAGCAGGGCUACGGUGCUGGAAUCCAGCCCGGCCCAGUGCCGGCGUUGGCAGCGGCCUUCCCAUUAUAUCAGGAAGGGCUGUAUCCCGUCGCCACCAUGCCCCAACCCCCCCGGCUCGCCUCAGCUGUCUGCGGGACGUGGAGCCAGGCAGAGGGUGCCCUGCAAGAAGCAGAGCUGUUGGUUUGAGGUGCGGAAAGCCGGCCAGUCUGGAUGCGACUGCUGCUGCGUGGCGGACAGGUUCCAUCUUCCUGUGGCACUGAGAUUGUGAAUGCAACAAGUAUUGAUGAACGAGGUGCUCGUGGAGCCAAACAGCAAACCCACAUCAGCGAGAACAGAGUGACCUGAUGUAGAAACAAGAGUCAUCUCCUGAUCCACCAAUAUACGCUCUGUGUGUGUACGUAUAGGUUGCUGCAAAGUGCACUCUCAUUUACUAGAUGGCUAUACAACAAAUGUAGCGCUUGUGUCAUUUCUGAACCAUGCCUAUGAAAAAUGGGCUUAAUUUUUUAUCUAAUGGCCAUGACCUUUUCUCUAUAUUGCCCAGCAAUGUAGAUGCUGGAUGUCACGUGUACGCAUAGUAUCUUAAGUGAUAAACAAUUUGUUUUUGCAGUUUGGCCAGCAUCAUUAGUUAAUUAGACCGUGGCUGUUUAGGCACCUGGAACAAGCAGUGGGAAUUUAAAUUCUUCUGAUAGAAGGAUUUAUUUCUAAUGAGUCUCGACACAUAAUGAGUUCCAACCGGGGGAGACUGACCAUUAGUGGAUGACUCACAGCAUUACCGUAAAGAUCAGAGUCACAUAUUUAAUUUUAUAAGGCUUACAUACACUCGGUGAGAGCACAGAUUCUAGAAACAAAUCUUUUGGUUCCAGUUUUGUUACCGUGUUAGAUUUCACACAGUCCUCCUAUGCCUGAGAGUAAACACGUAGGACACAGCAGACUAUUUAUUUUAUUUCACUUUUUUAUUGCUCUUCCUCUCUCCAGUUUCAAGAGGAAAAGAAGCUGAGUUUUUAAUAUUGUGAGAAUGCUCAGCCCUUUUCAGCUGGGAGAUGUCAGAAGCAGCUGCAGACCUAAAUGAAAGGAGCUCAUCUCUGGAAAUUUGCUAUGCUGUAAUAAAUGCAGGCUUCUGCUGGUGAGCUGCUGAUGG